UACGGAGGGUGCGAGCGUUGUCCGGAAUCAUUGGGCGUAAAGGGCGCGUAGGUGGCCCGGUCAGUUCGUGGUGAAAGCGCGGAGCUCAACCCUGCGUCGGCCAUGAAUACUGCCGCGGCUGGAGCACUGUAGAGGCAGGCGGAAUUCCGGGUGUAGCGGUGGAAUGCGUAGAGAUCCGGAAGAACACCGGUGGCGAAGGCGGCCUGCUGGGCAGUUGCUGACACUGAGGCGCGACAGCGUGGGGAGCAAACAGG
rnacentral:rRNA from 1 species